rnacentral:rRNA from 1 species
AGCAGCCGCGGUAAUUCCAGCUCCAAUAGCGUAUAUUAAAGUUGUUGCAGUUAAAAGCUCGUAGUUGAAUUUCGGGAUUUAUCCGUUGGUCGGGCUUUUGGUCUGUACUGGCGUGAUGGAUUCCUACCUUCUGAAUAACCGGCAUGCCAUUAAUUUGGUGCGCCGGGGAAGCAGGACUGUUACCUUGAAAAAUUAGAGUGCUUAAAGCAGGCUUAUGCCUGAAUACAUUAGCAUGGAAUAAUGAAAUAGGACGCAUGGUUCUAUUUUGUUGGUUUCUAGGAUCACCGUAAUGAUUAAUAGGGAUAGUUGGGGGCAUUAGUAUUCAAUUGUCAGAGGUGAAAUUCUUGGAUUUAUUGAAGACUAACUUCUGCGAAAGCAUUUGCCAAGGAUGUUUUCAUUAAUCAAGAACGAAAGUUAGGGGAUCGAAGACGAUCAGAUGCCGUCGUAGUCUUAACCAUAAACUAUGCCGACUAGGGAUCGGACGAUGUUAAUUUUUUAAUGACUCGUUCGGCGCCUUACG